AGCCUUUUCACACAUUAGGAGCUUUCGAUCAGGGCUCCUCGGGAAUCCAAUUCAAGUGUUUGAUGAUGCCUGUGUAAAUGAGAUGAGAAGAAGCUCCAGGGGAGUCAAUCAACCCACUGUGGACGUGUGGAGUACAAAAUGAGAUGUUUUGCUGGGAAAGGCCCGCUCUGUUUCCUUUGAAAUGUACUUCAGAUCUGCAGAGCAACAGGGCGUGUAAGCUGUCAAUUUCACUCAAUGAACAUAGGGGGUCCCCUGUUCAGACAUGUCCUUAGACACGUGUGGGGAAAUCCUUUUUGGCCUGUGACUUUCAGUGGAGUGAAUGAUGCAACUUGCUCUCCCCUGCCUCAUUUUGUUUUUCCAGUUACACGAGCCAGACUUCAGCUCAUGUUUUAGUGAUAAUAGCAAAAAUGAUCCUUGAAUUUAAGUCUAAUGUGCAA